AAGGAAAGCUUGCUUUUCUGAAUCUAGUGGCGAACGGGUGAGUAACACGUAGGUAACCUGCCCAUGUGCCCGGGAUAACUUCUGGAAACGGAUGCUAAUACCGCAUGAGACCACAAUUCCACAUGGAGAAGGGGUCAAAGGAGGAAUCCGCUGAAGGAGAGGUUCGCGUCCCAUUAGGUAGUUGGCGGGAUAACAGCCCACCAAGCCGACGAUGGGUAGCCGAGCUGAGAGGCUGAUCGGCCACACUGGAACUGAGACACGGUCCAGACUCC
rnacentral:rRNA from 1 species